AGAAGCUCCUCAAUGGCCGGCGCAAGCGCCAGCCAGCACCAGCUGCAGCCCGGGCGGCGAACUCGCCUCAGCUGAGCCUGGGUUUGAAAGAUUCCAGAGCAAGUUGAAAGCACAAGGCAGUGAGGCACCACGCGCACCGAAAGCGACCUCCCCAGCCGGCCGCUGCAGGUGCAUCCCGGAAGUGGGCAGAGGGGCCUCAGGCUCAAUCCCGCCAGGGCGGAGGGCCCCAUCCCCUUUCCCAGUGCCCCUGGGUGACCAGCGGUUCAAUGACUUAGCUUGAGCCAGGCACCAACCAGGAGCGACAGCAAGGACAGCAGCGGUGAUGAACAACCCAUGCUGGCAUCAGGACUGGCGCACCACGCCACGCACACCCAUGGCCCUGCUGCUCAUCCGCCCUCAGGCACCAGGGUGGCAGUCGCCCCCUGCACACAUGCGCAUGCUGCUCCACCACCUGCCCUUCACCCAACAAUUCAGCAGGGGGUAACUGACGGAGGCAAGGGGUAGGACUGGCCACCCCACCUGCAGGGCCGCCCAGGUAAUUAAGGAAAAGCACGUUGAGGGUCCCUAGAGGCCCCUUCACUACUUUUUAAACCUUUGGACAGUUUACACUACCUUUAAAAUUGCAUUUGUGCAUCAUACCAUUGCAAGACCACAAAGGAAGUUUCAACUUGACAUUUAUUGCAUACUCACUUCAGGCCACUGCUGAGCCCCCAAAACACACAGCCUAGUAACAUCAACGUCACCUUCAAGGACUGCAGAGACAGAUCAACAACUAUAUAAAUAAUAUUGUGAAAACGCAGUUAUUUGGGUGAGAAAAAUAUGACGCUAGAGGCUUUGGGAUGAGUAUCUUGCAUAAGCAAAAGUUCAGAAACUUGAAAAUACAGUUAGCCUACAAAUCUCAAAUUUAACCCCAUAACUGUAGCCCUUAGUCACCACACCUUCCAGCUCUCUCAACUCCCUUGCCUCUAGUUUACUCCUCUUCCCAUUUCCUACAACUUAACUUUGUAGGCGGAGCAUUUUAGCAAGGCUAUUUCAAAAGCAUGAAAAGUCCAACUGAUCCAAUGAAUUUACUCAGAAAUUUACACUAACAGGGAUGCUCUCAAAAUUUUAAAUUACUUAAGCUUUAUAUUAGCAUAAAAAAUUUAAAACCAAAUGCUUAACAAUAGGGUACUGUUGAAUAAUUUAACAUACGUCUACAUAAAAUUAAACUAUUAAAAUCUGCUUUUCAAGAAAUAUUUAGUAAUGUAGGUAAUGUAUGCUUAUCUAACGUGGAAUUUUAUGUUACUGCUGCUAAAGCAAAACAUCCUGUUCACUGGGUGAAAGACCUGCUUUAUGUAUGUACACUUCAGUGCAAUUUUUAAAAAAAUACUGUAAUUAUAAUCUCAGAACUUCCGAAUUUCAACAGAUGCCAGUGUUCUCUUCUUUUCUCAUAUGGGAAAAUUCCUUUGAAACUCAUUUGAAGCUUGGACAGAAACUCCACAGCUGUAUUCCUCAGGAUCACUUUGCAGAAUCUUCAAGACUCAGAGAGGAAGCUUCAAUUCAACCUUUCAGAGAAGGCAUUCCAGGCUCACAUGAUCUUAUCAACCAAGAGAAUGUUGGUGGCAAUCACAGUGCUGAAAGGGGGACAAAAAUUAGAUGGCUCAGAUGAUUAAAAGCCCUAAUUCGACUCAACUUCCCACUUCCAACUAAGCUGCACACAUUACAUCCAAUUAAAUUUCCCCCUUCCCCUCUACACAUCAGAGGGUUAGUUCGGUUUCCAUACUUUCAGCUGAUUACAUUGUUCAUGGGGGAAAAGGAGCAACUAAACAGGACACACCAAAUGAAAAGAGUAUGAUGAUUCUCUAACAGUUUAGUUUUCAGUUUCCCAAACUUACCAAGAGUGAUGAAGCUGUUUCUUGACACAAUCGUUAUCCCGUAACGCCUACUUCUGCUGCUACCACUGGCUCACCUAGAAGGCAACCAAACCUUAAAUAAGGUCAGUCAAUAAGAACCAACAAUAUUGUGUGAUUGUGUGUGGCUUUGCUUAUCACUGAUGACUCAUUUCCGCCAGUAUUAACUAUGAGAAUUCAAAGCUUCUCUGUUAGCCCAGUUUUCUACUCUGAACCAUGAACCCUGUCCACAAUAUUUGAGGAGUGUCUGACUUCUACUUAGAAGACCUGAACAUCCCUCUCUUCCGGAUACAUUUCUGUUUACCCACAGUAAAGUAUAGUACUGCGACUAUAAUCUGGCUAAAAUGGACUGAUCAUUUCCCUCAUUCCAGAAACCUUUUUUAUUAAAUAAUAAUGUUGACAACAAUAGGUCUUGCACAUAC